AUACGUAGGGUGCAAGCGUUGUCCGGAAUUACUGGGCGUAAAGCGCUCGUAGGUGGUUUGUCGCGUCGUCUGUGAAAUUCCGGGGCUUAACUCCGGGCGUGCAGGCGAUACGGGCAUAACUUGAGUACUGUAGGGGAGACUGGAAUUCCUGGGGUAGCGGUGAAAUCCGCAGAUAUCAGGAGGAACACCGGUGGCGAAGGCGGGUCUCUGGGCAGUAACUGACGCUGAGGAGCGAAAGCAUGGGUAGCGAACAGGAUUAGAUACCCUGGUAGUCCAUGCCGUAAACGGUGGGCGCUAGGUGUAGGGGUCUUCCACGACUUCUGUGCCGUAGCUAACGCAUUAAGCGCCCCGCCUGGGGAGUACGGCCGCAAGGCUAAAACUCAAAUGAAUUGACGGGG
rnacentral:rRNA from 1 species